GGAUGUGAGGGUGAUCUGGCUGUGACAUCUGUCACCCCACUGAUCGCCAGGGUUGAUUCAGUGGAUCUGGCUGGCUAGGCAGGUGUCUCCUUUCUCCCUCGAUGUUCCAUGUGUGUCUCUCCUGAAGCUGCUCGCUGGGUCAAAGAGGACACUCACCCCCUAUAGAGGGCCAUUCCUCAGUGAAGGGUGUACGAGUAGCUGCGCUCCCCUGCUAGAAACUCCAGACAAGCUCUCAAGAAUGACAAUUAAAAGAGUCCAUUUUUACUUUAUUAUUUUUAUUUUAAAUUAAAUAUUAGCUUCUGUAUUGAAAUUU
rnacentral:snRNA from 1 species